CGAAUACUUUGGCAAAACCAGUGAAAAUUGGUGACGCAAAGCUUUUAGUCUAAAGUGGUUUCCGCUAUGAUUGCCAGGCUGCAAAU
rnacentral:ncRNA from 2 species